rnacentral:rRNA from 1 species
GACGAACGCUGGCGGCGUGCUUAACACAUGCAAGUCGAACGGAAAGGCCCUGCUUUUGUGGGGUGCUCGAGUGGCGAACGGGUGAGUAACACGUGAGUAACCUGCCCUUGACUUUGGGAUAACUUCAGGAAACUGGGGCUAAUACCGUAUAGGAGCUCCUGCUGCAUGGUGGGGGUUGGAAAGUUUCGGCGGGUGGGGAUGGACGCGCGGCUUAUCAGCUUGUUGGUGGGGGAGUGGCUUACCCAGGCUGUGACGGGUAGCCGGCCUGAGAGGGUGACCGGCGACCUGGGGACUGAGAUACGGCCCAGACUCCUACGGGAGGCAGCGGGGGGAAAUAUGGCACAAUGGGCGGAAGCCUGUGGAAGCAGCGCCGGGUGCGGGAUGACGGCUUUCGGGUAGUAAACCGCUUCCGCCUGUGACGAAGCGUGAGUGACGGUAACGAGUAAAGAAGCACCGGCUAACUACGUG